rnacentral:rRNA from 1 species
GACGAACGCUGGCGGCGUGCUUAACACAUGCAAGUCGAGCGGAAAGGCCCUUCGGGGUACUCGAGCGGCGAACGGGUGCGUAACACGUGAGUAACCUGCCCCAGACUUUGGGAUAACCCUCGGAAACGGGGGCUAAUACCGGAUACGACACAGCUUCGCAUGGGGUCUGUGUGGAAAGUUUUGCGGUUGUGGAUGGGCUCGCGGCCUAUCAGCUUGUUGGUGGGGUGAUGGCCUACCAAGGCGACGACGGGUAGCCGGCCUGAGAGGGCGACCGGCCACACUGGGACUGAGACACGGCCCAGACUCCUACGGGAGGCAGCAGUGGGGAAUAUUGCACAAUGGGCGGAAGCCUGAUGCAGCGACGCCGCGUGAGGGAUGACGGCCUUCGGGUUGUAAACCUCUUUCAGCAGGGACGAAGCGUAAGUGACGGUACCUGCAGAAGAAGCGCCGGCCAACUACGUG